rnacentral:rRNA from 1 species
GGUAGGACUACCCGCUGAACUUAAGCAUAUCAAA